AUUGCCUUCAAUGAUCAAAUGAAUCCUAAUUUUCACUCUCCUACCUCUUAUUUAUAGUAUUAUAUUUGGGCUUAAAGAGUGAUACCUCAAAUUUAAUUAAUAGGCCCAAUAUGACCUAAUAUUUAAAUAUCUCUAAUUUAAUUCAAAUAAAUUAAACCAACUCAAUAUACACCAAGUUAAUUAAUAUAAUUAAUUAUUCAAUUAUAUCUCAUAUCAACUAAAUAAUUAAUUAACACACCAAAUCAAUUAAUAUAAUCAAUUAUUACUACCUAACAACCAAUUAAUUAAUUAACACUCU
rnacentral:lncRNA from 1 species